rnacentral:misc_RNA from 1 species
GAUGAAGAACGUAGCGAAAUGCGAUAAGUAAUGUGAAUUGCAGAAUUCAGUGAAUCAUCGAAUCUUUGAACGCACAUUGCGCCCGUCAGUAUUCUGGCGGGCAUGCCUGUUCGAGCGUCAUUACGCCCCUCAAGUCCCCUGUGGACUUGGUGUUGGGGAUCGGCGAGGCUGGUUUUCCAGCACAGCCGUCCCUUAAAUUAAUUGGCGGUCUCGCCGUGGCCCUCCUCUGCGCAGUAGUAAAACACUCGCAACAGGAGCCCGGCGCGGUCCACUGCCGUAAAACCCCCCAACUUUUUGACAGAGUUGACCUCGAAUCAGGUAGGAAUACCCGCUGAACUUAAGCAUAUCAAUAAGCGGAGGA